rnacentral:rRNA from 2 species
UUUAUGGAGAGUUUGAUCCUGGCUCAGGAUGAACGCUGGCGGCGUGCCUAAUACAUGCAAGUCGAGCGAACAGAUAAGGAGCUUGCUCCUUUGACGUUAGCGGCGGACGGGUG